UGACAGUUGUGCUUCACCCGCAAAAGGUC
rnacentral:piRNA from 1 species